rnacentral:rRNA from 1 species
UACCAGCUCUCCGAGUGGUAGGGAUGAUUAUUGGGCUUAAAGCGUCCGUAGCCGGCUUAGCAAGUCUCCUGUUAAAUUCAGCGACCCAAUCGUUGAGCCGCGGGAGAUACUACUAGGCUAGGAGGCGGGAGAGGUCAACGGUACUUCCGGGGUAGGGGUGAAAUCCUAUAAUCCCGGGAGGACCACCAGUGGCGAAGGCUGUUGACUAGAACGCGCUCGACGGUGAGGGACGAAAGCUGGGGGAGCGAACCGGAUUAGAUACCCGGGUAGUCCCAGCUGUAAACGAUGCGAGCUAGGUGUUGGGGUGGCUACGUGCCACUUCAGUGCCGCAGGGAAGCCAUUAAGCUCGCCGCCUGGGGAGUACGGCCGCAAGGCUGAAACUUAAGGAAUUGGGCGGGGAGCACCACAAGGCGUGAAGCUUGCGGUUC